GCCUGGGUGGCUCAGUUGGUUGAGUGUCCGACUUCAGCUCAGGUCAUGAUCUCAUGGGUCAUGGGUUCGAGCCCCACAUCAGGCU
rnacentral:tRNA from 1 species